AGAUUGAACGCUGGCGGCAGGCCUAACACGUGCAAGUCGAGCGGCAGCACGGGUACUUGUACCUGGUGGCGAGCGGCGGACGGGUGAGUAAUGCCUAGGAAUCUGCCUGGUAGUGGGGGAUAACGCUCGGAAACGGACGCUAAUACCGCAUACGUCCUACGGGAGAAAGCAGGGGACCUUCGGGCCUUGCGCUAUCAGAUGAGCCUAGGUCGGAUUAGCUAGUU
rnacentral:rRNA from 1 species